rnacentral:rRNA from 1 species
ACCGUGAAAAAAUUAGAGUGUUCAAAGCAGGCAGAUCCAAUUUUCUGCCACCGAAUACAUUAGCAUGGGAUAAUGGAAUAGGACCCUGUCCUCCUAUUUUCAGUUGGUUUUGGCAGCGCGAGGACUAGGGUAAUGAUUAAUAGGGAUAGUUGGGGGCAUUAAUAUUUAAUUGUCAGAGGUGAAAUUCUUGGAUUUAUGAAAGAUUAACUUCUGCGAAAGCAUCUGCCAAGGAUGUUUUCAUUAAUCAAGAACGAAAGUUAGGGGAUCGAAGACGAUCAGAUACCGUCGUAGUCUUAACCAUAAACGAUGCCGACCAGCGAUUAGGAGACGUUGAAUACAAAACACCACCAUCGGCGCGGUCGUCCUUGGCGUCGGUCUUUCGGGGCCGGCGCGGGGGCGGCUUAGCCCGGUGGCACCGGUGAAUGACUCCC